ACGAACGCUGGCGGCGUGCUUCACACAUGCAAGUCGAACGGAAAGGCCCUGCUUUUGUGGGGUGCUCGAGUGGCGAACGGGUGAGUAACACGUGAGUAACCUGCCCUUGACUUUGGGAUAACUUCAGGAAACUGGGGCUAAUACCGGAUAGGAGCUCCUGCUGCAUGGUGGGGGUUGGAAAGUUUCGGCGGUUGGGGAUGGACUCGCGGCUUAUCAGCUUGUUGGUGGGGUAGUGGCUUACCAAGGCUUUGACGGGUAGCCGGCCUGAGAGGGUGACCGGCCACAUUGGGACUGAGAUACGGCCCAGACUCCUACGGGAGGCAGCAGUGGGGAAUAUUGCACAAUGGGCGGAAGCCUGAUGCAGCAACGCCGCGUGCGGGAUGACGGCCUUCGGGUUGUAAACUGCUUUCGCCUGUGACGAAGCGUGAGUGACGGUAAUGGGUAAAGAAGCACCGGCUAACUACGUG
rnacentral:rRNA from 1 species